UCAAGAGUUGCAGAUACGGUGCAUGGAGUCCUUGUGAACCCUUCCCCCAGCUUCCCCCAGUGGUCAUAUCUUAUGUAACUACAGCACCACUUCAGACCAGGACCAUGACACUGGUAAGGGACAUUUGUGCUGUGGGUGGAGCUGUCAGGAGCCUGGUGGACAAAACAUCAUGACAAAAUGAAAGGGAAAGAUGGACUUCAGACAGCAGUCUGGAGAAAAAUUGAAUUCAACAAUGCUAUUUAAGAUUGCAUGCAUGGGGAGUUCCGGUCAAGAUGGUGGAGUAGACAGUUCCUAGUGUUGCUCUCUCCCACAAAGCGACCAACUUGCAACUAUUAAAAAGCAACAACAGGAGACAUGAGAUCAGUGCCAGAAUAGGCGGGAGCCGCAUGCCACAGGACCCCAUCCCAGGCCAGUGUUUGCCACCCAGAGAGGCCUGAGAGCCACGGGGGCCACACACCCUGAGACAGCCAAGCCAGAAAAGGCAGGUACCGCGAGACCUCCAGCCCAGGUUGGUCCCUGCUACUUAGAGAGACUCAAGAGCCUCUGGGCUCACACGCCCAUAGUCAGCCAUGCUGGAAAAGGCAGGCACUGUGGGACCUCCAGCUCAGAUUGGUUCUCACCACUUAGAGAGACUUAAGAGCCUCUGGGUCCAUACACCCUGAGACAGCCAUGCUGGAAAAGACAGAUGUCGCAGGACCCCUAGCCCAGGCUAGUUCCUGCUGCCCAGAAUUGGCAGUCCCUUCAGGAUCCAAGCCAGACAUCAAGGAGAUA